UACGUAGGGGGCGAGCGUUGUCCGGAUUUAUUGGGCGUAAAGAGCUCGUAGGCGGUUUGGUAAGUCGGGUGUGAAAUCUCCACGCUCAACGUGGAGGGGCCACUCGAUACUGCCAUGACUCGAGUCCGGUAGGGGAGUGUGGAAUUCCCGGUGUAGCGGUGAAAUGCGCAGAGAUCGGGAGGAACACCCGUAGCGAAGGCGGCACUCUGGGCCGGUACUGACGCUGAGGAGCGAAAGCGUGGGGAGCGAACAGG
rnacentral:rRNA from 1 species